rnacentral:rRNA from 1 species
GAUGAACGCUGGCGGCGUGCUUAACACAUGCAAGUCGAACGAGAUCCAUGGUGUAGCAAUACACCGGAAGAUCUAGUGGCGAACGGGUGAGGAACACGUGAGAAACCUGCCCCAGACUUUGGGAUAACAAGUGGAAACGCUUGCUAAUACCGAAUGACGUCGGAGAACCGCAUGGUUCACUGACGAAAGGAAUUCCGGGUUGGGAGGGUCUCGCGGCCUAUCAGCUUGUUGGUGGGGUAAUGGCAUACCAAGGCAACGACGGGUAGCUGGUCUGAGAGGAUGAUCAGCCACACUGGGACUGAGACACGGCCCAGGCUCCUACGGGAGGCAGCAGUGGGGAAUCUUGCGCAAUGGGCGAAAGCCUGACGCAGCAACGCCGCGUGCGGGAUGAAGGCCUUCGGGCUGUAAACCGCUUUCAGCAGGAACGAAAAUGACGGUACCGGGAGGAUAAGCCCCGGCUAACUCCGUGCCAGCAGCCGCCGUAA